UAAUUACAGUUGACAUUUCCAUCGGUGAGACC
rnacentral:piRNA from 1 species